rnacentral:rRNA from 1 species
UACGUAGGGGGCGAGCGUUGUCCGGAUUUAUUGGGCGUAAAGAGCGUGUAGGCGGCCAGGUAGGUCCGUUGUGAAAACUCGAGGCUCAACCUCGAGACGUCGAUGGAAACCAUCUGGCUAGAGUCCGGAAGAGGAGAGUGGAAUUCCUGGUGUAGCGGUGAAAUGCGCAGAUAUCAGGAGGAACACCGAUGGCGAAGGCAGCUCGCUGGGACGGUACUGACGCUGAGGCGCGAAAGCGUGGGGAGCAAACAGG